CCUACGGGAGGCAGCAGUGGGGAAUCUUGCACAAUGGGGGAAACCCUGAUGCAGCGACGCCGCGUGAGCGAUGAAGCCCUUCGGGGUGUAAAGCUCUUUCGACGGGAACGAUAAUGACGGUACCCGGAGAAGAAGCUGCGGCUAACUACGUGCCAGCAGCCGCGGUAAUACGUAGGCAGCAAGCGUUGUUCGGAGUUACUGGGCGUAAAGAGUGCGUAGGCGGUGCCCUAAGUCUGUUGUGAAAUCUCCUGGCUCAACUGGGAGGGUGCGGUGGAAACUGGGGUGCUUGAGAGUGGGAGAGGUUAGCGGAAUUCCUGGUGUAGCGGUGAAAUGCGUAGAUAUCAGGAGGAACACCGGUGGUGUAGACGGCUGACUGGACCACGACUGACGCUGAGGCACGAAAGCGUGGGUAGCAAACAGGAUUAGAUACCCUGGUAGUCCACGCCCUAAACGAUGCAUACUUGGUGUGAGCCAUUCAUUUGGUUCGUGCCGGAGCUAACGCGUUAAGUAUGCCGCCUGGGGAGUACGGUCGCAAGGCUGAAACUCAAAUGAAUUGACGGA
rnacentral:rRNA from 1 species